ensembl:lncRNA
GGGGGAUUUUGGAAGAGCAAAUGUGUGAGUUUUGGUUAAAUGGGGGGUUUUCCAGAGAAAAUGCAUGACUUUCUGUUCAAUGGAGGAUUUUUGUGGUGAAAAUGCGUGGUGUUCAGGUUAAAGCAGGGAUUUUCGAUGAGAAAAUACAUGAUUUGGGGGUUAAAUGUGUUUGUUUGUUUGUUUGUUUUAAGAGAAAACUUGUGAUUUUUGAUGAAUUAUGUAUUUUUGAAGUGAAAAUGCGUGGUUUUCAGGUUAGAUCAGGGAUUCUUGAAGAGAAAAUGCAUCAUUGUCGGGUUACAUGGGGGAUUUCCAAAGAGAAAUCGCCUUUUUUUUUUUUUUUUUCUGGUUAAAUGGGGGAUUUUUGAAGAGAAAAUGAGUGAUUUUCAGUUACAUGGGGGAUUUUUGAAGAGAAAAUGCGUGAUUUGCAGAUUAAAUGGGGGAUUGUUGAAGGGAAAAUGUGUGAUUUUUGGAUUUAAACAGCUAUUUUUUGUAGAGAAUAGGCAUGAUUUUUGGUUUACAAGAGGGAUUCUCAAAGAGAAAAUGCAUUAUGUUUGUUUAAGUGGGGUAUUUUUGAAGGGAAAAUGUGUGAUUUUCGGGUUAAAUGGGGGAUUCUCGAAGAGAAAUUGUGUUUUUUUCUGGUUAAAUGGGGGAUUUCCGAAGAGAAAAUGCAUGAUUUUCGUUUAGAUGUGAGGUUUUUGUAGAGGAAAUGCGUGAUUUUUUGGAUACAUGGGGGAUUCUUGUAGCAAAAAUGUUUGAUUUUGGGGUCCAAUGGGGGAUUUUUGAAGAGCAGAAGUGUGAUUUUCACGUUAAAUGGGGGGUUUUCCGUGAGAAAAUGUGUGAUUUGGGGGAUAAUGGGGUAUUUUUGAAGAGAUAAAGCAUGAUUUUGGGGUAAA